rnacentral:rRNA from 1 species
GAUGAACGCUAGCGAUAGGCUUAACACAUGCAAGUCGAGGUGCAGCAUGGUCUUAGCUUGCUAAGACUGAUGGCGACCGGCGCACGGGUGCGUAACGCGUAUGCAACUUGCCUCACAGAGGGGGAUAACCCGUCGAAAGACGGACUAAUACCGCGUACACUUGGGAUAGGGCAUCCUGACCCAAGGAAAUGAAAUUCGCUGUGAGAUAGGCAUGCGUCCCAUUAGCUAGUUGGUGAGGUAACGGCUCACCAAGGCGACGAUGGGUAGGGGAACUGAGAGGUUGAACCCCCACACUGGUACUGAGACACGGACCAGACUCCUACGGGAGGCAGCAGUGAGGAAUAUUGGUCAAUGGGCGAGAGCCUGAACCAGCCAAGUCGCGUGAAGGAUGACUGUCUUAUGGAUUGUAAACUUCUUUUAGACGGGAAUAACAAGAGUCACGUGUGGCUCCCUGCAUGUACCGUAUGAAUAAGCAUCGGCUAACUCCGUG